rnacentral:rRNA from 1 species
AUUGAACGCUGGCGGCAUGCUUUACACAUGCAAGUCGAACGGCAGCGCGGGCUUCGGCCUGGCGGCGAGUGGCGAACGGGUGAGUAAUGCAUCGGAACGUGCCCAGUAGUGGGGGAUAGCCCGGCGAAAGCCGGAUUAAUACCGCAUACGACCUGAGGGUGAAAGCGGGGGACCGAAAGGCCUCGCGCUAUUGGAGCGGCCGAUGUCGGAUUAGCUAGUUGGUGGGGUAAAGGCUUACCAAGGCGACGAUCCGUAGCUGGUCUGAGAGGACGACCAGCCACACUGGGACUGAGACACGGCCCAGACUCCUACGGGAGGAAGCAGUGGGGAAUUUUGGACAAUGGGGGCAACCCUGAUCCAGCCAUGCCGCGUGCGGGAAGAAGGCCUUCGGGUUGUAAACCGCUUUUGUUCGGGAAGAAAUACUCUGGGCUAAUACCCCGGGGGGAUGACGGUACCGGAAGAAUAAGCACCGGCUAACUACGUG